rnacentral:rRNA from 1 species
GACGUAGGAGACGAGCGUUGUCCGGAUUUACUGGGCGUAAAGCGCGCGCAGGCGGCCCCGCAGGUCGGUUGUGAAAGCCCCCGGCUCAACCGGGCGGAGGCGAGCGAAACCGCGGGGCUGGAGGCUGGCAGAGGGUGGUGGAAUUCCCGGUGUAGUGGUGAAAUGCGUAGAGAUCGGGAGGAACACCCGCGGCGAAGGCGGCCAUCUGGACCAGCACUGACGCUGAGGCACGAAAGCGUGGGGAGCAAACAGG